rnacentral:sRNA from 1 species
GUUAAAACCUUCAGCCCCACGUGCUGUUUGCAAACCUGCCUGUACCUGAGGCCCUAAAAAGCCAGAGACCUCACUCCCGGGGAGCCAGCAUGUCCACUGCGGUCCUGGAAAACCCAGGCUUGGGCAGGAAACUCUCUGACUUUGGACAGGAAACAAGCUAUAUUGAAGACAACUGCAAUCAAAAUGGUGCCAUAUCACUGAUCUUCUCACUCAAAGAAGAAGUUGGUGCAUUGGCCAAAGUAUUGCGCUUAUUUGAGGAGAAUGAUAUAAACCUGACCCACAUUGAAUCUAGACCUUCUCGUUUAAAGAAAGAUGAGUACGAAUUUUUCACCCAUUUGGAUAAACGUAGCCUGCCUGCUCUGACAAACAUCAUCAAGAUCUUGAGGCAUGACAUUGGUGCCACUGUCCAUGAGCUUUCACGAGAUAAGAAGAAAGACACAGUGCCCUGGUUCCCAAGAACCAUUCAAGAGCUGGACAGAUUUGCCAAUCAGAUUCUCAGCUAUGGAGCGGAACUGGAUGCUGACCACCCUUGGGCAGCCCAUCCCUCGAGUGGAAUACAUGGAGGAAGAAAAGAAAACAUGGGG